UUCCUCGUAAGGAUCCCUGUCCAGCUUGGACAAAUCUGGUGCUUCUCAGAAAUAAUUAAUUCCAGCAGAGCCACAGCCAACCCAGCUCUCGCUGUUUCUCCUGGAUCCUCCAGACCUCAGAUCCUCUCCGUGUCCUCUAUGGACCGUCUCCAGCAGCUCCUUGUCCUGUCCUGAGUAUCCCAGAACUGGAUCCCUUGUGGCCCCAGUCCCAGCAUUCCUCAGAUAAAAAAAAACAGGGCUUGGAAGCUGUGGAAUUCUGACUAUUGGAAUUAUGUGAGGUACUUUGGGUGGUAUGAAAAACAAACCCAGCACCCUUCCUGCAGAACAGAGGAAUGCCUGGCUGGAAUUCUGGAAUUCUGAGGGAUUGAUGUUCUGACUGGCCAAACACAUUCCCUCGGGCCUUGUCACGUCCCAAGGGACCCAAAGCUGCUCUGCUGUGCUUGGGAAUGACAGGAAGAGCCACGGGAAUGACCCACAGGAGCAGCUGAUGCUCACAGCUUAAUAAUUCCUCCUGACAAUAAAAACUGGUUAAUUUUGGGAA